AUAUUAAUAAGCGGAGGAAAAGAAACUAACUAGGAUUCCCUCAGUAACGGCGAGUGAAGCGGGAAAAGCUCAAAUUUAAAAUCUUCGCGUUUCGCGCGACGAAUUGUAGUUUAUAGAAGCGUUUUCUAAGGCAGCCUUGGUAUAAAUCCUUUGGAACAGGGUAUCAUAGAGGGUGAGAAUCCCGUCUUUGACUGAGUGCCUGUCCUUUCUACGAUACGCUUUCGAAGAGUCGGGUUGUUUGAGAAUGCAGCCCAAAAUGGGUGGUAAAUUUCAUCUAAAGCUAAAUAUUGGCACGAGACCGAUAGCGAACAAGUACCGUGAGG
rnacentral:rRNA from 1 species